rnacentral:rRNA from 1 species
CCCUUAGAUGUUCUGGGCCGCACGCGCGCUACACUGAUGCAUUCAACGAGCCUAUCCUUGACCGACAGGUCCGGGUAAUCUUUGAAUCUGCAUCGUGACGGGGAUAGAUUAUUGCAAUUAUUAAUCUUCAACGAGGAAUGCCUAGUAGGCGCAAGUCAUCAGCUUGCGUCGAUUACGUCCCUGCCCUUUGUACACACCGCCCGUCGCUCCUACCGAUUGAAUGAUUUAGUGAGUACCAGGGACCGAGCGCUUUGGUUGGGUUUCCUUCCCUAGCGCUUGGGAACUGUCGCAAACUUGACCAUUUAGAGGAAGUAAAAGUCGUAACA